rnacentral:misc_RNA from 1 species
GAUGAAGAACGUAGCAAAAUGCGAUAAGUAAUGUGAAUUGCAGAAUUCAGUGAAUCAUCGAAUCUUUGAACGCACAUUGCGCCCGCCAGUAUUCUGGCGGACAUGCCUGUUCGAGCGUCAUUUCAACCCUCAAGCUCAGCUUGGUGUUGGGACUCGCGGUAACCCGCGUUCCCCAAAUCGAUUGGCGGUCACGUCGAGCUUCCAUAGCGUAGUAAUCAUACACCUCGUUACUGGUAAUCGUCGCGGCCACGCCAUAAAACCCCAACUUCUGAAUGUUGACCUCGGAUCAGGUAGGAAUACCCGCUGAACUUAAGCAUAUCAAUAAGCGGAGGA